GCUGAGACUAGAGGCAGUUGCUGACUGGCAUCUAAGACAGUAGGAGUUCCCUACCAACAGGGAAGGAUGAGGCAACUCCUGGCCAGAAGAGAGAGAACCUGAAUGCCAGAGCAGCAUUGGUCACCAUGGUAGGAGAGAAAACCUGGGCGGAUAGUGUCCCACAGGACUUCUGGUCUACUUUCGGGUCUGCUGCAGUGCAUGCAGGGGAUCACUUCCACACCCCCCAGUUCAGUGACUGGUGCCUCCUGGGCCUGGGGGGGCACCCAGGAUCCUCCCGCAGAUGAUCACCAAGCCAGUGGGGAGAGGCAUGCUCUUGUGGGAUGCUCCAUCUGCCCUACCACUUCAGUGUUCACAUGCCAUGCCUGGUACCUCAAGGCAUCCAAGAAAGACUGGAAAAGGGAAGAAACCCUGGUCUCCAGAGCAGGCAGACCCGCGGUCCUGACAGGCACCCCCAUCUUCUGUCCAGAUGACAGCAUCGCCACCCCUCUCCAGAGGCAGAGUGAGCACCACUCCCCGGGGCUCAACUGCGGCCACUCCACAGUGGACUAUUUUGCUGCUGGCAGAGUGAUUUUUGUAUAGACCUGGCUGACUAAGUGCAUGUACCUUUUAUAAGUUGCCUGGGUGUUAAAGCUGAUAACAUAAUUGCUUUUGCUAUAUGAUAAGUAUUUGCUUUAUCUGCUGGUAUAGAUUUUUAUUGAGCUCAUUGAAAAUAUUUUGUUUGUUAUUUAUGGGAUGUUGAAUUUGUCAGUCUCUCAGUUAUUGUAAAUAAUAAAUUAUUCUAAAUAGUUAUUUAGUGUGUGGUCUGGUGAAGGGAGGACCACAGGAGAGCAGUUCAAUGAGUGGUGGAUCCCAGCCUGUAGACAGAGUGGGAGUAGAUCAAGACCUAUUGGUAUCCCAGGAUCCCAAAGAUGUGGACAUGACUGCAGGUAGCACCGCCACCAGGGUUACAAUUGUAAGAUAUCUCAGGCUUUCCUUGUAGUAAUUAUUAA